UGGGGGUACCUGGGAGUACCUGUGUGCACACCUGGGGGUACCUGUGUACACACCUGUACUCACCUGUGCUCACCUGUUCACACCUGGGGGUACCUGUGUGCACACCUGUACUUACCUGUACUCACCUGUGCUCACCUGGGAACACCUGGGGGUACCUGUGUGCACACCUGUACUCACCUGUGCACACCUGGGAACACCUGGGGGUACCUGUGUGCACACCUGGGGGUACCUGUGUGCACACCUGUACUCACCUGUGCACACCUGUACACACCUGUGCACACCUGGGAACACCUGGGGGUACCUGUGUGCACACCUGUACACACCUGUGCACACCUGGGAACACCUGUGCACACCUGGGAGUACCUGUGUACACACCUGUACUUACCUGUGCUCACCUGGGAACACCUGGGAGUACCUGUGAGUAUCUGUGUGCACACCUGUACUCACCUGUACUCACCUGUGCACACCUGGGGGUACCUGUGUGCACACCUGUACUCACCUGUGCACACCUGUACACACCUGUGCGCACCUGGGGGUACCUGUGUGCACACCUGUACUCACCUGUGCACACCUGGGAACACCUGGGAGUACCUGUGAGUAUCUGUGUGCACACCUGUACUCACCUGUGCUCACCUGGGGGUACCUGUGUGCACACCUGUACUCACCUGUGCUCACCUGAGGGUACCUGUGUGCACACCUGUACUCACCUGUGUGCACCUGGGGGUACACUUGGGGGUACCUGGGGGUACCUGCAUGCACUUGAGACACACCUGUACACACCUGUACACACCUGUUCACUCCUGCACACAUCUGCACACACCUGGCACACACCUGUGGAGCACAUCUGCACACACCUCUACACACCUGUACGCACCUGCACACACCUGAACACACCUGAACACACCUGCACACACCUGCACACACCUGUACACACCUGUUCACACCUGUACACACCUGUUCACACCUGCACACACCUGCACAUGCACACACCUGCACACCUGCUCACACCUGCACACCUGUUCACACCUGUACGCACCUGCACACACCUGUACACACCUGCACACACCUGCACAUGCACACACCUGCACACCUGCACACACCUGCACACGCACACACGCUGUGGGUGCUGCGCACUCACCUGUCUCACACACACACACACCUGUCCGCAGGUGUGCCACACAUGGCGGCACCGGGAUGGAGCCAGUGCUGCACACCUGGGCAAUGCACACCUGUACACCUGUACAUGGCACACCUGUACAUGGCACACCUGUACACCUGUACAUGGCACAUCUGGGCAAUGCACACCUGUACAUGGCUCACCUGUACAUGCACACCUGUACAUGGCACACCUGGGAAUACACCUGUACAUGGCACACCUGUACACCUGUACACCUGUACAUGGCACACCUGUACACCUGUACAUGGCUCACCUGUACACUUGUACAUGGUAAACCUGUACACCUGUACAUGGCACACCUGUACAUGGCACAUCUGUACACCUGUACAUGGCACACCUGUACAUGGUAAACCUGUACACCUGUACAUGGCACACCUGUACACCUCUACAUGGCCCACCUCGGCAAUGCACACCUGUACACGGCACACCUGUACACUUGUACAUGGCACACCUGUACAUGGUACACCUGUACACCUGUACACCCGUACAUGGCACACCUGUACAUGGUAAACCUGUACACCUGUACAUGGCACACCUGUACACCUGUACAUGUCACACCUGUACAGGGUACACCUUUACACGGCACACCUCUGCACCUGUACACCUGUACACCUGUGCAUGGCACACAUUAUACCUGCACUGCACACCUAGACACACCCGGACACACCUGACACCACCAGUCCUGUGCAUGUUCAGGUGCUGCAGGUGCUGCUCUCGCUGCUCACACCUGGACACACCUGGAUGCACACCUGCACACACCUGAACACACCUGCAGACACCUGUACACACCUGUAUGCACACCUGUAUGCACACCUGUAUGCACACCUGAGCACACCUGUAUGCACACCUGAGCACACCUGCACACUGCACACCCCAUGCAGCUCCCCCAGGUGCCGCAGC
ensembl:lncRNA